rnacentral:lncRNA from 1 species
UCCCAAAACAAUAUUGACAAGUCUCCAUCAUCUCUUUCCCCAAAACAACAACAAUAAUGACCUCCUUUCUCCCUUCUCCUCUUUUACUUCUAUCCAUCAUACCCAAAUCAAAAGACCUAAAUCUGCUGCGUCACCACCAUAGCUGCACCUCCUCUGCCAAGAUUCUCUCAUUUUUAACCAUCCAAGCCCGUGAAUUCGUAAGAAUAAAAGAAAAAAGACCCAAUUCGAUGUUUGAUGUCAAUUUUGUCAUUAAUGGCCUAGAAAAAGAAGAGAUUUGUUGCAGAAUUUCGUAUUAUUUUUUAAACCAAGUCUUCUUCUCAUCACUCUUGCUUAAAUCAAGUUUCAAAUUCAAACUUUCAAGUUAGAAUUUCACCUAUAAAUAUGGAUAUUCUUCCCCUAUUAGAGGAGAGGUUUUGAAAGACAAAAAAGGGGGAAGAAGCGAAAAACAAGUCUUGAGAAACGAAAUUGUGAAAAAAGGGCGGAUAAUUUUUGAGAGAAAAUAAAGGUUCAAGAUUAAGGUGAAAAAUAUAUGAAAAUGACCUUGAAAGGUUAGGAUUUCAAAAAAAAAAAAAAGACAGAGAAAACAGAAGCAAAACACAAGAGAAUUAAAAGAAAAGAGAGAAAACAGCCUGUUCCGAAAAUCUUAGCAAGGUCUAGUAUUGCAAUAGCUGAUUUUCUUUUCAGUUUGGUGUUAAAGUUGGUGGUUUCGAUUUGAGUUCGAAGUCGAUGGAAUCUUGACAUGAAAGUCCCGGCUUUGCUGCACCAAAAAAGGUGCGAAUCUAUUUUCAUCUCUUUUUUCCCUCAUCUGUUUGGUCUCAGCGAUCUAUGAUCUUUUGAUUUAUAAGCAUAUUUUGUUCUUGUCCUUUUUUGGUAAAUAUGAAUUUUAGUCCAAAAAUAAAAAAUAUUUUCAUACGUGAACAUCUAGAUCUGUAAAUAUGUGUGUUUACUUCACUGGGGUGCUGCUAGUCGUUUUUAUUUACUCAUUAUUUAUUUAGACAAGAGUUACUAUCCCUUACAUGCUAUAUUUUGUGAUUUAUUCCCACUGACGGAAAGCAAGAUUACAUGAUAAUCAUCAUUUGUUUUCCCGUUCGGAUGUGUUUUGUGAAUACGGUAUCCCAUCGACAUUGUUGUUGUUAUUUUGGUGUUAUGAAUAAGAGCAUGAUAAUAUUUUAUUUGGUGUAUACAUAUCAAAAUAUGGCUAAACAAUUAUUGUUUCUUUAUAUCCAAGUCGAAUUCGUGAGUGCGUUCUAUUUACGGAAUUGAGAUAUGUGUGGUUAUUUUUUGGAUAAUUGAUAUGUGCGUCACUGUCUAUCCUUUACAAAUCAAAGUUUUAAGGGAGCAAUUCUAUUUUGGCAUCAGAAGUAUAUGAAAGAAAAAGGCCAAAUAGUUGCUCACUUUACUUUUUGUAUUAAAAAGGGUGUCGUUUCUUUCUUUUUCAUCAAUUAUAUUUGAAGCCUUAUGGAAUUUUCAAAGGAAAAGUGUUUAAAGAAAGUUUUCAUAAAUGAAAAAAUGUUGAAUACACUUUUUCAAAGGAAAUGUGUUUUAAAGUAAGUUUUCAUAAAUGAAAAAAUGUUGAAUAGUUUUGCACGAUAAACUGGUGAAUUUUUUAUUUGAAAUAUUUUACUAGUGAUGAUUAUGCUUGAUCAAAAUACUAUUAUAUUGUUAUAAAAUGUUAAAUUAUAAGGAAAAAGUGUUUUAUUGAAGUUAUGCUAUGAAGUGUUUUAAAAAGAGAAUAUUUUAUUUGAUUCAAACUCACUAUAUGUUUACUAUUGUGGGGAAGAAGAUUGAAUGUUUAAGUAACUAAAGACAAAAAGAAAAGAUAUUUUAGGAUCCUAAUUUUCCUUUUGUUUACUCUAUUAUUUUUGCUGGUAGUUUAUGGUAACAUUAUUUGCCUUAAUUGGGCUCAAAAUGUGUUGUGGCAAUUUAUUUGUAGGAUUAGUAACUAAGACUUCAGUAUCAUUUCUUAAAACAAAUGCAUGCGUGACACCUCCUGUUACUCUACAUAAUCCUUAACAUGCAUUGUAGCUAUGUUUGCUCCUUAACUGUGUGUGCCAUGUGACUCAAAUUAUUCAAGUAUUUUGUUAUUUGGUUCGCUUUAUCGAGUAUAGUUUUAACCCUUACUAAUCCUUAUCCUUUUAUUUUACAUGUACUCGGGAGUUGUGGUUCCGCAUUGAAACUCGUUUUGACCCAAUUGGGGUUAAUCGCUACUAGGAGUACAGAGCCUCGGAGUCCUACAGAUUAGGAGCCUAAAUUCCCCAAAUGGGAUUUUUAUAUUCCUUUUCCUCUUUAGAUUUAAUUUACAUUCGGCAUAUUGAUUCUUUCGUUACAACUAACUCUCAUUGUCAAUUUUGCUUAAGGUAGUUUUAUUUGAUUGUUUGGAUUAUUUUUCUGUACUACUUGUUGACCUUACGUGUUUUUUUUUACAUUUCAUUUCUCGCAAAUAUCAUAUGAUUAUCAUCAAAUGAAAAAUACACCUUGAUCACAUUCGGAUAACUCUUUUAAAAAUC